UUUUCGGGAAGCCCGCACCGAUGACACACAUGUACUUUGAUCAGGUGCCUCGUCCCUCGGGUCAAAAUAUGCCACCGUUGGCAAUGGGUUCAAGGACCCCAGGUUCCAGACAGAGAAAGAAGCUGCUAGAAUCAUAAGUUCAAAUCCAUCCCCUCCCACCUGCCCGCCCCAAUGCUCCAGGACGCCGGCCACAUCACUCCCGAUGAGCAACCGUCUCCCACAUGCUCGUUUUGAUGACUCUUCCUCCUGACUCAGCUUAUUCUGGAAAGAAACAACCUCCUUCUACCGCAUCCAUCCCAUGCCCCGGCUUCCUGACCACAUACUGUUCUCCGGAUGAAG